AUGGCGGCGGCGAUUCGACACGUGGGCAGAAGGCUCGGCGGCGGCAAGGCGGUUUACAAGCCCGUCGUCUCGCCGCUGGUCGAGGAUGAGUGUCGCCGGCUGAUGCCAAGGCUCAUCUACGGCGGCCGUCAGCCUAUCCCUUUUCGUUUCCGGCCUUUGUCUGCCUCCGCCGGCGGCGCUGAUGUUGGCAACAGCAACCUGCAUCAACCGAAUGCAAAACCUGCGCUUGACCUCGACGCCAAGAGAGCAUGGGGCCAUCGUCAAAUAGCAGAAAUCGAGACCAAGAAGCACGACCUCUUCUACUUGCUCGCUGAGCUUGAUAGUAGAUUCCCCUCGCAUAAUAAGUACUUCCGAGAUAAUAGAGAGCUUAUCCAUCAUCUUUUCAGACACAUUGAGCCUAAUCCCAGUGAUGCCCUCUGGAUGUGGCUGCCGCCUAUGUGGGUCUCCGUGUCGCGGGGAUCGCCAUGGGCCUCGAUGUCCAUGAUUUGUGUCGCAAGACAGCACUUGAACAUGGAGGUGAUUGAGGCGAAUUUUGCUGCACCUGAUGUGGAGGCUAUAUGCAGAUGCCAGUCGAGAAUUUUGGCGAGGACAGUUGGGCUUGGAAUCUCAAGAAAAUUUGGAAAGUUCACCGUACGAUCUGCGUACAGAGCGUUGGUGGCAAGAAGUGUGGAUAAUGGUAGGGCCUCGAGCUUCAGGGGAGAGGGUGAACAAGUGCUGGAGAAGGCUCUGCAAGCUAGCGGUGCCACCGAAAGGUGCAUAUACAACCAGGAACCAUUGGGUAUUUCCCAUUGCUCGGCUCUCUUUGUAGUUUUACAAGCUCGGUUGAGUAAGAUUUCUUUGGCGAGGGCCGAGGGCGGGGACAUGCAUGGGGUUAAGUUGCUCGACUCUUGGACGAUUUUUUGA
rnacentral:rRNA from 1 species